rnacentral:misc_RNA from 1 species
UAAUAAAAAUCGGAGUGUCGCUCUCGUGAUGCACCGGAGGUUGGGUCAUCUUAGCUUUUUUCAGGUUAAGAGGCUUAAAAUUGAUCUUUUUGCGCGGUUUAGACGUACAUAAUUUUUUUAUUCGUCUAUAACGUCAAAUUUUUUACUAGGUGCGAACACGUCGCGUGAUCUCGUGCCUAUAAUAUCUCAUC